ncrna:unclassified sequences IS605-orfB-II RNA
CAUGAUUAGUGAAAACUAGGAUUGUAUAGAGAGUAGUCGCAGUCGCUCCAACUCCGACUUCUAAAUGUAAUCAUAUUUGGAAGUAAGGUGAGAAACAACUGUUAAGUUGGAAACUUUAAUUUUGUUAAGAAAUUGAGGAACUGC